CCUACGGGGGGCAGCAGUGAGGAAUAUUGGUCAAUGGGAGAGAUCCUGAACCAGCCAAGCCGCGUGAGGGAAGACGGCCCUAUGGGUUGUAAACCUCUUUUGUCGGAGAACAAAACCCGGGACGUGUCCCGGACUGCGUGUAUCCGAAGAAAAAGCAUCGGCUAACUCCGUGCCAGCAGCCGCGGUAAUACGGAGGAUGCGAGCGUUAUCCGGAUUUAUUGGGUUUAAAGGGUGCGUAGGCGGGACGGUAAGUCAGCGGUAAAAAUGCGGAGCUCAACUCCGUCGCGCCGUUGAAACUGCCGUUC
rnacentral:rRNA from 1 species